GCCGCGGCGAUAGCUGAGUGGGCAAAGCGCUAGAUGAGUAUUUUAUCCGCGCGGGUUCGAAUCCCGCCUGUGGCA